rnacentral:lncRNA from 1 species
GGUGGUUGAUUUUUUUUUUUGCUUAGGGUUUCUUGUUUUUCUUUUGUUUUGGGCUAGGGUUAGUGAUUUGGGUUUAGUUGGGUUGUUUGGGGUUUAUAGUUUGGGUCUGGUAUUGGGUUUUUGAUUGGGCUGCUAUUUUAUUUGUUAUUUGGACUUUUUUUUGGGUUUUUAUUUGGUUUAUUUUUGGAUUAAGCCCAGGCCAAAAUUGGCCUAUUACAGCUGCCUCUCUUUGCUCAUUGUCGUGCAACGGGAACAAAACAAAGAAAGAAAGGCAAAUUUUGCCUGGUUUAGCCAACUCUUAACUUUUGG